CUUUGUUAGUAGCCCAAGUUUGUUCUUAUUGUUUUAGCCUUUGAAUAUGGAUAGCCAAGAUACUACACUUGUUAUGUUAUCUCAAGAAACUAGCUCACGAAGACGACCGCGAGAUGAAGAACCGCCUGCACCACGACGACGUCGAAGGAUUCCGAGCAACAGAUCGCUGGUGAUUGUAUUUGAGGUCGAGCCUGCCUACAAUGGUCAGCCAGAAGGAGUGUUUG
rnacentral:lncRNA from 1 species